ACGCUGGCGGCAGGCCUAACACAUGCAAGUCGAGCGGUAGAGAGAAGCUUGCUUCUCUUGAGAGCGGCGGACGGGUGAGUAAUGCCUAGGAAUCUGCCUGGUAGUGGGGGAUAACGUUCGGAAACGGACGCUAAUACCGCAUACGUCCUACGGGAGAAAGCAGGGGACCUUCGGGCCUUGCGCUAUCAGAUGAGCCUAGGUCGGAUUAGCCAGUUGGUGGGGUAAUGGCUCACCAAGGCGACGAUCCGUAACUGGUCUGAGAGGAUGAUCAGUCACACUGGAACUGAGACACGGUCCAGGCUCCUACGGGAGGCAGCAGUGGGGAAUAUUGGACAAUGGGCGAAAGCCUGAUCCAGCCAUGCCGCGUGUGUGAAGAAGGUCUUCGGAUUGUAAAGCACUUUAAGUUGGGAGGAAGGGUUGUAGAUUAAUACUCUGCAAUUUUGACGUUACCGACAGAAUAAGCACCGGCUAACUCUGUGCCAGCAGCCGCGGUAAUACAGAGGGUGCAAGCGUUAAUCGGAAUUACUGGGCGUAAAGCGCGCGUAGGUGGUUAGUUAAGUUGGAUGUGAAAUCCCCGGGCUCAACCUGGGAACUGCAUUCAAAACUGACUGACUAGAGUAUGGUAGAGGGUGGUGGAAUUUCCUGUGUAGCGGUGAAAUGCGUAGAUAUAGGAAGGAACACCAGUGGCGAAGGCGACCACCUGGACUGAUACUGACACUGAGGUGCGAAAGCGUGGGGAGCAAAC
rnacentral:rRNA from 1 species